GACGUAGGGCGCGAGCGUUGUCCGGAUUUAUUGGGCGUAAAGAGCUCGUAGGCGGCUUGUCACGUCGGGUGUGAAAGCCCGGGGCUUAACCCCGGGUCUGCAUUCGAUACGGGCUAGCUAGAGUGUGGUAGGGGAGAUCGGAAUUCCUGGUGUAGCGGUGAAAUGCGCAGAUAUCAGGAGGAACACCGGUGGCGAAGGCGGAUCUCUGGGCCAUUACUGACGCUGAGGAGCGAAAGCGUGGGGAGCAAACAGG
rnacentral:rRNA from 1 species